rnacentral:rRNA from 1 species
UACGGAAGGGGACUAGCGUUGUUCGGAAUCACUGGGCGUAAAGCGCACGUAGGCGGAUAUGUCAGUCAGGGGUGAAAUCCCGGGGCUUAACCUCGGAACUGCCUUUGAUACAGCAUAUCUUGAGUCCGAUAGAGGUGGGUGGAAUUCCUAGUGUAGAGGUGAAAUUCGUAGAUAUUAGGAAGAACACCGGUGGCGAAGGCGGCCCACUGGAUCGGUACUGA